rnacentral:rRNA from 1 species
AUUGAACGCUGGCGGCAUGCCUUACACAUGCAAGUCGAACGGCAGCACGGGUGCUUGCACCUGGUGGCGAGUGGCGAACGGGUGAGUAAUACAUCGGAACGUACCUUAUCGUGGGGGAUAACGCAGCGAAAGCUGUGCUAAUACCGCAUACGCCCUGAGGGGGAAAGCGGGGGAUCGCAAGACCUCGCGCGAUUAGAGCGGCCGAUGCCAGAUUAGCUUGUUGGUGGGGUAAAAGCCCACCAAGGCGACGAUCAGUAGCUGGUCUGAGAGGACGAUCAGCCACACUGGGACUGAGACACGGCCCAGACUCCUACGGGAGGCAGCAGUGGGGAAUUUGGGACAAUGGGGGCAACCCUGAUCCAGCAAUGCCGCGUGAGUGAAGAAGGCCUUCGGGUUGUAAAGCUCUUUUGUCAGGGAAGAAACACCGGCUCUAACACAGUCCGGGAAUGACGGUACCUGAAGAAUAAGCACCGGCUAACUACGUGCCAGCAGCCGCAGUAA